rnacentral:ncRNA from 31 species
GCUGGUGCUUUAAUCAUAGAUUACAGGGCAACCUGGGCGGUGAUGACGUGUUGCAAGCGUUAUUACCGUUUACAUA